rnacentral:rRNA from 2 species
GUCUGACGUAGCAACGCCGCGUGAGUGAGGAAGGCCUUCGGGUCGUAAAGCUCUGUUGUGAGGGAAGAAGCGGUACCGUUCGAAUAGGGCGGUACCUUGACGGUACCUCACCAGAAAGCCACGGCUAACUACGUGCCAGCAGCCGCGGUAAUACGUAGGUGGCAAGCGUUGUCCGGAAUUAUUGGGCGUAAAGCGCGCGCAGGCGGCUUCUUAAGUCUGAUGUGAAAUCUCGGGGCUCAACCCCGAGCGGCCAUUGGAAACUGGGGAGCUUGAGUGCAGAAGAGGAGAGUGGAAUUCCACGUGUAGCGGUGAAAUGCGUAGAGAUGUGGAGGAACACCAGUGGCGAAGGCGACUCUCUGGUCUGUAACUGACGCUGAGGCGCGAAAGCGUGGGGAGCAAACAGGAUUAGAUACCCUGGUAGUCCACGCCGUAAACGAUGAGUGCUAGGUGUUAGGGGUUUCGAUGCCCGUAGUGCCGAAGUUAACACAUUAAGCACUCCGCCUGGGGAGUACGGCCGCAAGGCUGAAACUCAAAGGAAUUGACGGGGCCCGCACAAGCGGUGGAGCAUGUGGUUU